rnacentral:rRNA from 1 species
UACGAAGGGUGCAAGCGUUAAUCGGAAUUACUGGGCGUAAAGGGUGUGUAGGCGGUUUGUUAAGUCUGUCGUGAAAUCCCCGGGCUCAACCUGGGAAUGGCGAUGGAUACUGGCGAGCUAGAGUGUGUCAGAGGAUGGUGGAAUUCCCGGUGUAGCGGUGAAAUGCGUAGAGAUCGGGAGGAACAUCAGUGGCGAAGGCGGCCAGCUGGGACAACACUGACGCUGAAGCACGAAAGCGUGGGGAGCAAACAGG